rnacentral:lncRNA from 1 species
GUCUGACGUAAAACUCCAACCAAUAAAUCUUCAAGAACAAUUGAUUGGUAAUGAAAAACCAAUUGACAGCCAUUCACACCAUCCUUAAUGAGAAUAAAACACCCCAAUGACAAUGGAUCUUAUAUCUUCACUAUCAAUGUGAAGGCAAACAUCCUAGGAAAGCAUUGGAGUCUCAACACCUAUUCAUGUGGUUGGAGUUACUUUGUGGAUCGCUCCAGCCUCCCUGAUGCUGUCACAAG